rnacentral:rRNA from 1 species
GAUGACCAUGCCAAAUUAAAGAAAGAUCUUGAUCAUGCUCUUGUUGUGUCUCGUGUUCUAACUUUCGAGAAGGCUAAACUUGGGGUUGAUCAUGCUAGACUCAAGGAGGAGUUUGAUGUACUUGACAAGGCCCAUAAGGUCUUGAAAGGUGCUCAUGCAAACCUCAAGGAGUCUCAUGCUCAACUCCAAGUUAAGCUUACCAAGGAAAAGGCCACAUUUCCUCACAUGGUCUUAACUGAUAAUGCAAAUGCUACUAACCCAUGUUGUGAGCAUGUGCAUCUUGUGGAGGAGAAUGCCAAGUUGAAGGAACAACUCGAGAAAGGUCUUGUGUCAUGCAUACAAGGCGAGAAGAACCUAAAUGACCUUUUGAGCAAUCAAAAGGAAGUU